rnacentral:lncRNA from 1 species
UUGGCUUCGCGUUAUCAUCGGAGUAGAGUCAUGCAAGGCCAUGCUGGAGCUAAUCUGGUGAGCUAUUAGGUUUUAUCACUGUCCAUUUUCAAAUUCUCUUAGUGUCCUGUUUUAGAAUUUCUUUGUGUAUAACUUCUGUAUGUAAAGGAUUUUACAGGGACGAGAGCAAUAGAUGAAAUGUAUGUUGAUAGCAGCCACAUCCGCAGACUAUUUAUCAAAACUUCAAUAGUAUGCGUUAGUUUUAACAAGGCCUUCUCUAUAACCGGAUUCUUAUCAAUGGAAACAAUGAUAGCUCUUUCAAUAGGUAAGGGAGUGUUCAAGUUCAUGUGAAGUUUUUUUACAAUAGUAUUUGGUUUUGCUGUUUGUGUUAGAUUUUUGAUGUAGUUAUGUGUGGCUUGAGUUGUUUUCUGUGUGUUUGAGUUUGCUUUUGGCAGUAUGUUUGUGUUCUAUUUAUUUUAUGUGUGUUUAAAUAGCUUUGAUAAUGUUGCGUCUUAGAUUCUGCUUUUGGAUGGUGACAAGAUACAAAACAGAAAUUGUUGGCAGACUCAACC